rnacentral:rRNA from 1 species
CGUCUAUAUACGUAUAGCAUAUCAAUAAGCGGAGGAAAAGAAACUAACUAGGAUUCCCUCAGUAACGGCGAGUGAAGCGGGAAGAGCUCAAAUUUGAAAUCUUCAAGGUUCUACCUUGACGAAUUGUAGUUUAAAGAAGUGUUUUCUGUUGGAUGUUUUGGUAAAAGUUCUUUGGAAUAGGACAUCAUAGAGGGUGAGAAUCCCGUAUUUGACCAUUAUUUCCAACUUUGUGAUACACUUUCAAAGAGUCGGAUUGUUUGGGAAUGCAGUCCAAAAUGGGUGGUAAAUUUCAUCUAAAGCUAAAUACUGGCGAGAGACCGAUAGCGAACAAGUACCGUGAGGGAAAGAUGAAAAGAACUUUGAAAAGAGAGUUAAACAGUACGUGAAAUUGUCAAAAGGGAAGCGUUUGACACCAGUGUUGUUUUCUCGAAAAUCAAUUAAAAAUGGCGGAUUUUGUGUUGUAUUGACUUUAUCAGCUUUCUGCACUUUUUUCCUGUCUUUUUUAAUGCACUUUUCGUUUAACAAGUCAACAUCAAUUUCUUUUGUUGUAAAAGAGUCAUUGGAAGGUGGCUUUCUUUUCGGAGAAAGUGUUUAUAGCCUUUGACUUCUGCAAUCGGAGAGAUUGAGGUCUGCAGCGUAGAUCCUUCGGGGUUAGAUACAUUUGUGCUAAGUUAUAGCCUUUCAUAGACAACUUGUUGACUAUGAUCAGUCAUGUAGCUUACUCGCUUAUGCUAUUUUACCUACGCUUAGGAUGUUGACGAUCAGCUGAGCGCG